GAUGAACGCUGGCGGCGUGCCUAAUACAUGCAAGUCGAGCGAACGGACGAGAAGCUUGCUCCUCUGACGUUAGCGGCGGACGGGUGAGUAACACGUGGAUAACCUACCUAUAAGACUGGGAUAACUUCGGGAAACCGUAGCUAAUACCGGAUAAUAUUUUGAACCGCAUGGUUCAAAAGUGAAAGACGGUUUUGCUGUCACUUAUAGAUGGAUCCGCGCUGCAUUAGCUAGUUGGUAAGGUAACGGCUUACCAAGGCAACGAUGCAUAGCCGACCUGAGAGGGUGAUCGGCCGCACUGGAACUGAGACACGGUCCAGACUCCUACGGGAGGCAGCAGUAGGGAAUCUUCCGCAAUGGGCGAAAGCCUGACGGAGCAACUCCGCGUGAGUGAUGAAGGUCUUCGGAUCGUAAAACUCUGUUAUUAGGGAAGAACAUAUGUGUAAGUAACUGUGCACAUCUUGACGGUACCUAAUCAGAAAGCCACGGCUAACUACGUG
rnacentral:rRNA from 1 species